rnacentral:rRNA from 1 species
AUUGAACGCUGGCGGCAGGCCUAACACAUGCAAGUCGAACGAGUGGCGGACGGGUGAGUAAUGUCUGGGAAACUGCCCGAUGGAGGGGGAUAACUACUGGAAACGGUAGCUAAUACCGCAUACCAUCGGAUGUGCCCAGAUGGGAUUGGCGAGUAGGUGGGGUAACGGCUCACCUCGGCGACGAUCCCUAGCUGGGCUAAGGGGAUGACCAGCCACACGAGAACUGAGACACGGUCCAGACUCCUACGGGAGGCAGCAUUGGGGAAUAUUGCACAAGGGGCGCAGGCCUGAUGCAGCAAUGCCGCGUGUAUGAAGAAGGCCGUCGGGUUGUAAAGUACGUUCAGCGAGGAGGCGUUACACACAGAAGAAGCACCGGCUAACUCCGUGCCAGCAGCCGCGGUAAUAC